ensembl:lncRNA
GUCCCUUACCUUCAAUCAGCAGAGUCUCAACACUGUCCUCUUUAUAUGGUGGAGGCCACAGUUUCUCUGCCUUGCAGCUGUACAGGCCUGUUCCAUUGACCGUGAACACGUAGCGGUUGGACAGGUUCUGGUUCAGGGCCGGUUCAACCUGCCCGAACUGGACAAAGGUUUCUUGACGAUUGGUUCCGGUGUGGUUUCGGUUCUGCUCCUUAGUCUCAUUGAGCUCAGUGGUGUGAAUUGUAACGCUGUUCUCGUGCACGGAACCCAGUAGAUGGAACCUGAGAUCAUACCCGGUCAAGUUGGGGCAGGCGAUGGAUACUUGGCUGUGUGGAACCACAUGCUGGAUGUACAUUGCUCUUGCUGCAUGGAGAAACAGGUCAGUCAAUCAGGACAAGUUCUUUUUGCAAUCAUGACCUGACCUGAACUGGUAUUGUGAAGCGGUGACACCACGUGUCAGAAAAAGGAUACUUAAAUCUUUGACUUCUCCACACUUUGGUGGAGUUUUCAUGACCUGUUAAAUGUACCCUUUUUAUUUUAUUUACUUAAUUUUAUUCGCUUUUCACUGUGACGCAUUCUGACAAACCGUGCCAUAGUGUGUUUUAGCAGCUGCUCCAUAGCCGACCGGAAGGCCCUGCAACGGGUGGACCUCCAGUGCCAGUGGUGUCUGCACAGGGCACGCGGCGUCAGCAGGGCCCCUUCACAUCCAGGCCACAAACUGUUUGCCCUCCUACCAUCAGGCAGGUGGUACAGGUCUUUUCAUUCCCGCUGCAGCAGGCUCAGGAACAGUUUCUUUCCAUCUACUGUGACCGUGCUGAACUCUGUGACCCAUCACUAAACAUAACCCCCCUGCCGCUCUGGUCCUUGUUGCACUACUCCCUUGUACUACUCUGACACUGCCUUGCAAAGUCUGAUAAUGGAAGUUUUCAACAUCACUGCUGGUAUUCCUGCAUUUCAGUAGCACAUGCAUCUUGUACAUUAAAUUUGCCUCUUUACACAUUUAGAAUUGCCAUUGUGCUUGCAUUUUUACAGUUGUUACACACACUCGUCUACUUUGAGGUCAUCUCUGCAUCCUGGGUGCACAUGCUACCUUAAUACAUCGCUCCUUCAUUUGCCUCGUUUGCACGCCAUUUUGAAAAUACCAUUUGUAUCCCGAACAACCAGGGACGCCGACAGGAAUGACAGGGCCCGGGACAGAAUUUAACAUUUAGGAGCCAAACCACAGGCCAAAAAAUGGAUUAAUAGUAAUUAAAUGACUGUCCAAGUCAUAAACAUUUUAUUUUUUAAUGCUUUAAUUCAUAACUAGGCCACAUUCAAAGGUGUUUUAAUUACCUGUUUUCAACACAAAUGAUAGAAUGACAUUCCACCGGCACGUAAUGUUUAGUUUUUUUACUGAACAAAUCCUAUAAUGUAGCUUUAACAAAGUUAUGUUGGCCCUGGUGUUAGGGUAUCACUCUGAUUGGCUGACGGUGUUAGGGUAUCACUCUGAUUGGCUGACGGUGUUAGGGUAUCACUCUGAUUAGCUGACGGUGUUAGGGUAUCACUCUGAUUGGCUGACGGUGUUAGGGUAUCACUCUGAUUGGCUGACAGUGUUAGGGUAUCACUCUGAUUAGCUGACGGUGUUAGGGUAUCACUCUGAUUGGCUGACGGUGUUAGGGUAUCACUCUGAUUGGCUGACGGUGUUAGGGUAUCACUCUGAUUAGCUGACGGUGUUAGGGUAUCACUCUGAUUGGCUGACGGUGUUAGGGUAUCACUCUGAUUGGCUGACAGUGUUAGGGUAUCACUCUGAUUGGCUGACGGUGUUAGGGUAUCACUCUGAUUGGCUGACAGUGUUAGGGUAUCACUCUGAUUAGCUGACGGUGUUAGGGUAUCACUCUGAUUGGCUGACGGUGUUAGGGUAUCACUCUGAUUAGCUGACGGUGUUAGGGUAUCACUCUGAUUGGCUGACGGUGUUAGGAUAUCACUCUGAUUGGCUGACGGUGUUAGGGUAUCACUCUGAUUAGCUGACGGUGUUAGGGUAUCACUCUGAUUGGCUGACGGUGUUAGGGUAUCACUCUGAUUGGCUGACAGUGUUAGGGUAUCACUCUACCUAAUACUUUUUCUGGCCUUCUCUAUUUAUUAUUGCACAUUAAGUGUUGCUCAUCUACACAUUCCACUGGUAAUAUACAUAUACCUUAUACUUGGAAAUACUUCUAAAUCUUAUGCCCUCCUCUAUUUGCCUUAUGGCACAUUUAGUAUUGCCAUUUGUACUGCAUUUGCCUUCAUUGCACAUCAACACAUUCCACUGGUAAUAUACAUUUACUUAAUACUUGUACAUUUUCUGCCCUCCUCUAUUUGCACAUCUGGUUAGAUGCUAACUGCAUUUUGUGGUACUGUACUUGUACUGUUCAAUGACAAUAAAGUUGAAUCUAAUCUAAUCAACUAUUGUGCUGCAUUGUCAUUAAGUAUCCAACAGGUAAGCAUUUGUCGCAAUGUGUACCCUGUUCCCAUGACAAGUAUAACACAGCAUCUGAUUGGUCCAUUACAAAUGUCCACAUCAUCGGGCUCAAAGUGUCCACGAUUGGUUCAGGGUUCAUGAAGAAUUAUUUUCACAUGUGCUGGAAAUACAUUCCAGAAUGGUUUGACUCUCCCAUUGUCAAUAAAAGAUCUCAGCCAAAAAUGAAUGAAACACCGGACAGAAAUGAAUGUUUCAGAAACAAAUCCACCAUAAUUAGAGCUGAAGGUGGUCCAACGAACGUUGGUGCAAUGUUCUACAUGCAUUUGAAAAUGGAUUGGAAAAUACAUAAGAAAUAUAUAGAUGUAUUUUUCAAUACAUAUUACACACUUCAAAAUACAUUAUGCAAUGUAUUUUCUAUACAAAAUGCAUAUUGUAAAGAGAGCUUGUCUGACGGUAAAAUACAUUUGGACAAAAUCGACACGUAUGUAUACAUUUUUAAAUACAUUUAGGAAAAAAGGCUGAAAUGUUUUGUACAUAUAUGUCAUCACCAUUUAGAUAAAUAACUAUCACAAGAUCUGUUGACAAACUUUACAUUUCCUCCAUUUAAUCAACUCAUUUAAUCAAAAUUCAUUCAUACCUUUGCAGUCAAGAUGUUCAGUAAAUACAUCAUCCAGAGAACAGAACAUCACGAAGACUGUAAUACACAGGUUGAUCUCCAUCUUGAUUUUCAGAUUCCUUAAGUGAUA